CUUGAGAUACUUCCAACAUGUUCAAAUGGGGUCUAUUCAUCAGUCAAAACAUUAAUCUUGAAGGAGCAAAAGAUUGUUCAUGAACUGUCAUGCUCGCUAGGCGAAGCCCAUGCGUUUCGAGAAAAAUAAAAUGAAAAAAAAACGAAAAAAAAAACGAAAAGAGAAAACGAAAAAUAAAUAAAUAAAUAAGUAAAUAAAAUAUAACAGAAAAAUAUUGGACUUGGACCUCUCUCUUUUGAACCCACAAAGUCACAAAUAUCA
rnacentral:lncRNA from 1 species